rnacentral:rRNA from 1 species
CAUUCACGGAGAGUUUGAUCCUGGCUCAGGACGAACGCUGGCGGCGUGCUUAACACAUGCAAGUCGAACGAUGAACCACCUUCGGGUGGGGAUUAGUGGCGAACGGGUGAGUAACACGUGGGCAAUCUGCCCUGCACUCUGGGACAAGCCCUGGAAACGGGGUCUAAUACCGGAUACUGAACCGUCUGGGCAUCCAGGCGGUUCGAAAGCUCCGGCGGUGCAGGAUGAGCCCGCGGCCUAUCAGCUUGUUGGUGAGGUAACGGCUCACCAAGGCGACGACGGGUAGCCGGCCUGAGAGGGCGACCGGCCACACUGGGACUGAGACACGGCCCAGACUCCUACGGGAGGCAGCAGUGGGGAAUAUUGCACAAUGGGCGAAAGCCUGAUGCAGCGACGCCGCGUGA